GAUGAACGCUGGCGGCGUGCCUAAUACAUGCAAGUCGAGCGAACAGACGCGGCGCUUGCUCCUCUGACGUUAGCGGCGGACGGGUGAGUAACACGUGGAUCACCUCCCUAUAAGACUGGUAUAACUUCGGGAAACCGGAGCUAAUACCGGAUAAUAUAUUGAACCGCAUGGUUCAAUAGUGAAAGACGGUUUUGCUGUCACUUCUCGAUGGAUCCGCGCCGCAUUAGCUAGUUGGUAGGGUAACGGCUUACCAAGGCAACGAUGCGUAGCCGACCUGAGAGAGGGAUCGGCCACACGGGAACUGAGACACGGUCCAGAGUCCUAAGGGAGGCAGCAGUAGGGAAUCUUCCGCAAUGGGCGAAAGCCUGACGGAGCAACGCCGAGUGAGUGAUGAAGGUCUUCGGAGCGUAAAACUCUGUUAUGAGGGAAGAACAAAUGUGUAAGUAACUAUGCACGUCGUGACGGUACCUAAUCAGAAAGCCACGGCUAACUACGUG
rnacentral:rRNA from 1 species